GGUACCCAUUCAUUCCAGGUAUGGAAGUCAAUAAAUGGGCGAGCAUCCAGCAUUCUGCAAAAUAUCUUCUUUUGUGUAUAACAGAAUAGAGAAACUUAAAGGUUUAAAACCACACAAGUGACAACAAAUGAUGAGGUCAUUUAAAUUUUUCGGUGAACUAUCCCUUUAAGCUUAUUACUAUUGUUGUUGUUGUUAUUAUUAUUUUUUUUAUUAAUUACAAUGCAGUUGUAAUCAUUUACUCUCAUUCUUCAAAAUAUCUUCUUUUGUGUUCAAAAGAAACAAACAGACCCAUUGAGGUUUAAAACCACAUGAGUUACAAUAAAUGAUGAUUUUUUUGAUGAUCACUUUUUCUAAAAUAAUUACAAUGCAAUCAUAUUUAAAUCAAAAUGUUUGCACAAAGAGAUUGUACAAACAUUUAACGAUAUUCUUUCUCUUGAAUUUGGAGGUGAGGUGUUCUUUACUGGUUUUGUGUGAUUUUACUUAAUAUACCAGCCCACUUACUGUAUCAUCUUUCUUACUGUACCUUUUAUUUUGGGGAUAAAAUUAACUAAUCCAUUGUGAGAUGUUACUAUAGCUGGAGUUGAAUCUGAAACGGUUGGAUGUAGACGAGCGGCUCAAGCUCACUCACACUCUGUGAAUGUUUUUUUUAGGUUUGUUUUAUAGCAUCUGGUACUUGCUCCAGGGGUUUUUCUUUUUAAUCUAAGCUUACCCCACGUCUAAAAAAAACACCUAAAAUUGAAAGUGCAGGGUUUUGGUUGAUCAUUUUCAGGUUAUGACUGCUUUUACUCACCAGCCAGCCACAAUCGUCUGCCAUAAACCCCUUCAUUUUGAAUGCAUAAUGUUACUUUUAAUGCAGAACUUUACUCAUAGAUGUUCUGCAGAAUGUUUACAGUUCUGGUCAGAAAUACAGGGAUUAAUAUAUGUCUAUAACAGUAUUUUAUUUUAGUGAUGAAUGCAAUGAAACUGCGUAGCUUAAACAGUUUUCCUCAUAUUUGAGUCUCUGCUUAUCCUGUUUAUAUGGUGACGGGCAACUCACCAUAAGCUGCGAUUUUACAACAGACUAGACUCUUUCAUUGGUUGGCACUUGUAACAGCAGCCAAUCACAGUCAUCUUGUAUGCCUGACAUGGUAACUGGCCGAGCAUUAAGAAUUCUGAGAAUUAGUAAACCUAUCUUGCAUAUCAGUGCAUGUUUGUAUUUCGCAGCCUUUAGAUUAAGCAUGGACGUCUUUAACGGACCGGCUGGAAACCUCUUGGCCUGCUGUCUGUUUCAAUUAAAUGGUCCAAUUUAACCUAUGUAGAGCUGGCCUGAGUAAUAACACUUGGGCGCAGAAAUGAUGGAGUUUCAUCUGAAAUGUCAGUUUGUAGACAGACUAACAGUUGGAAAUAAAGUUUGGAAUAAAAAUA
rnacentral:lncRNA from 1 species